AGUGAACGUUGGCGGCGUGGAUUAGGCAUGCAAGUCGAGCGAGAACCGUAGCAAUACGGGGACAGCGGCGAAAGGGACAGUAAUGUGUAGGUACCUACCACCGGGUUCGGGAUAGCUGCGGGAAACUGCAGGUAAUACCGAAUAACGUCUCCGGACCAAAGGUGUGAUUCCACCUGGAGAGGGGCCUGCAUCCUAGUAGCUUGUUGGCGGGGUAACGGCCCACCAAGGCGACGAUGGGUAGCGGGUGUGAGAGCACGACCCGCGUCAUUGGGACUGAGACACUGCCCAGACACCUACGGGUGGCCGCAGUCGUGAAUCUUCGGCAAUGGGCGCAAGCCUGACCGAGCGACGCCGCGUGCGGGAUGAAGGCCUUCGGGUUGUAAACCGCUGUCGUAGAGGAGGAAAUGCAGGGGGGUUCUCCCCUCUGUUUGACCUAUUCUAGGAGGAAGUACGGGCUAAGUUCGUGCCAGCCGCCGCCGUAA
rnacentral:rRNA from 1 species